rnacentral:rRNA from 1 species
GGGGAAUAUUGCGCAAUGGGUGAACCCCUACGGCAGAAAACCCGCGGGGUGGAGGAGGUUUUUGGGAUGGUAAACUCCUUUAAUUGGGGAGAAAAAAAGAAGGUACCCAAGGAGAAAAUUCCCGCCAACCUAGGGCCCAGCAGCCGCGGUAAUACGUAGGGGACAAGCGUUGUCCGGAUUUACUGGGCGUAAAGGGCACGCAGGCGGUUUUUUAAGUCAGAUGUGAAAGGUACCGGCUCAACCGGUAACAUGCAUUUGAAACUGAAAGACUUGAGUAUUGGAGAGGCAAGUGGAAUUCCUAGUGUAGCGGUGAAAUGCGUAGAUAUUAGGAGGAACACCGGUGGCGAAGGCGGCUUGCUGGACAAAUACUGAAGCUGAGGUGCGAAAGCGUGGGGAGCAAACA